UGGGGGAUAUUGCACAAUGGGCGCAAGCCUGAUGCAGCGACGCCGCGUGGGUGAAGAAGUACCUCGGUACGUAAAGCCCUAUCAGCAGGGAAGAAAAUGACGGUACCUGACUAAGAAGCUCCGGCUAAAUACGUGCCAGCAGCCGCGGUAAUACGUAUGGAGCAAGCGUUAUCCGGAUUUACUGGGUGUAAAGGGAGCGUAGGCGGCAUACCAAGCCUGAUGUGAAAACCCGGGGCCCAACCCCGGGAGUGCAUUGGGAACUGGCAAGCUAGAGUGUCGGAGAGGCAGGCGGAAUUCCUAGUGUAGCGGUGAAAUGCGUAGAUAUUAGGAGGAACACCAGUGGCGAAGGCGGCCUGCUGGACGAUGACUGACGCUGAGGCUCGAAAGCGUGGGGAGCAAA
rnacentral:rRNA from 1 species